rnacentral:rRNA from 1 species
GGGGGUAGAUUUCCGGGUGAAGCGGGGAAAUGCGUAGAGAUUGGAAGAAAUACCGGUGGCGAAGGCGCCCCCCGGGACAAAGACUGACGUUCAGGUGCGAAAGCGUGGGGAGCAAACAGGAUUAGAUACCUUGGUAGUCCACGCCGUAAACGAUGUCGACUUGGAGGUGGUCCCCUUGAGGCGUGGCUUCCGGAGCUAACGCGUUAAGUCGACCGCCUGGGGAGUACGGCCGCAAGGUUAAAACUCAAAUGAAUUGACGGGGGCCCGCACAAGCGGUGGAGCAUGUGGUUUAAUUCGAUGCAACGCGAAGAACCUUACCUACUCUUGACAUCCAGAGAACUUAGCAGAGAUGCUUUGGUGCCUUCGGGAACUCUGAGACAGGUGCUGCAUGGCUGUCGUCAGCUCGUGUUGUGAAAUGUUGGGUUAAGUCCCGCAACGAGCGCAACCCUUAUCCUUUGUUGCCAGCGGUUAGGCCGGGAACUCAAAGGAGACUGCCAGUGAUAAACUGGAGGAAGGUGGGGAUGACGUCAAGUCAUCAUGGCCCUUACGAGCAGGGCUACACACGUGCUACAAUGGCGCAUACAAAGAGAAGCGACCUCGCGAGAGCAAGCGGACCUCAUAAAGUGCGUCGUAGUCCGGAUCGGAGUCUGCAACUCGACUCCAUGAAGUCGGAAUCGCUAGUAAUCGUGGAUCAGAAUGCCACGGUGAAUACGUUCCCGGGCCUUGUACACACCGCCCGUCACACCAUGGGAGUGGGUGCAAAAGAAGUAGUUAGCUUAACCUUCGGGAGGGCGUAUCAUAGAGUCCCGCAAA